CCCUCUUUUCCUCCCUAUUCUCUCUCUGUACCAAUUCAAUCACUUCUUCCACCACCACAACCUUCUUUCACCACCAUAACAACCAAAUCCGGCCAAAAAGAAGCACACACCAUUUCACAGAUAUGAUAACGGUAACGGCCACUUUCAUCAGGUCGGAGAUGUUUAGAAUGACCGGAAAUCACAGAUCUCUCUCUCUCGGAACGACCUAAAAGAACCACUACGGCGGCCGGACUUGAAUCAACCUCCGAUUAUCUUUCUCUCUCUUGGAACGACCAAGAACUGUGACGGCCGGAGACUCGUUGAUAACUCUGUUGAUUUCUAUUAGAUUUAGCCUAAUUCAAUUAUGUGUAUAAGAAGUUCAUUAUUUUGUAAAGUAAUUGAAAUGAUCUUUAUUUUGAGUUUUUCAAAAAGUCAUAGCAUGGACAAUUAGGGCUUGAAGGUUAGUAUUCUGUUGAAAUUAGUAGAAUUUAAGAACAAAAGAAUUUUGCUGUGAAGAAAUAGUUGACAAAUCAUUCGUCCGUGUAAAGCAAUAUAAGAGUCAACAUCAAUUGCUUUAUUUUUUUUAA